rnacentral:rRNA from 1 species
CUCUUUUCCAUCUUUACACGUUAUCAGCACGCUCGUACCCGCGAGCGAUUUGGCCACAAGGAACGAGAAGAAAGCGAUGGGAGGCGGCGUAACAGCGGCGAGGCGCCAAGGCUCUUCUCCCGCAUCUGGAGGCAAAACGGCCGGCGCGCGACGCUCGCCCAGCGAAGGAGUCCUCAUAUUGCAUCCGCGGCACACCACAUACGGAGCGCCCGCCGGCCCUCGGCGCCAUUGUUGCGCCCGGCGGGGCCACCUUCACGCGCGGCGCACGCGUCCGCGCUACCCGUCGGUGUCAAGCGACGAACAGCACAAGCCACUCUGGCGACCUUCAAUAAGGGCCGCCAUACACAUCGCUGGCCUCGAGAAAGAGAAAUCGGUGUCAAACAAGGUGAUUCAGUUUGAUUUUAUUCCUGCACAAAACAAUUGCUUUACCAGGAACACGAAGAACCGAGAAGAAAAGGAGUCAAGCACAGGAAAGAAUCCAAUCCACAUCCCAGACUACUUCUCGGAGGAGAUCAAAUAUAAGCGAUCUAAAUAGAAGAGAAACAGAUAUGAACACCGUCAGUGGGGGCGACUGCCACCGCGUACGACGGAGGCGACACCCAGACCCAGUGCGCCCGGCGCAUCCCGGAGGCGCCCUCCAUCGGCCUGAAUCGGCGCAACAGCGAUGCGCGAGUCAGCCGACCAUCGGCCUCGGGACGGGGCUCCCCUCCAGUACCGGCCAUCGGCUUCGACGCGGGUCCUCAGGCCUGCCGGCGGCCCUCGGCUUCGUGGCGGCCUCCCAUGUCUCCUCUCCACAAAAUCAGUGGGGGCGGCCGACGGAAGUGGUGGCCAACGGCCACGCCCACUCACGGUGCAACGGCCGGCGAAGACAUCUGCGGCCAACGGCCGUCCCAUGGCGUGCAGACGCUCCGGAAGCCAUGGCUAUUCCUGUGUUCAGCCAGAUCAAUUCGUGGAUGUGCGGAGUGUGAACAGAGAACCUUAUCUCUUUGGUCAUUUCACGACUUAGCACUCAUAGUUUCUUUAAAUGCCAAAUAAGUCCAUUGGUCUUAAUGCUACUGCUUGCGUACAAGCCCUGGCUCAUUGUAAGUGCGUCCAUACUAUGCAUAGUGUUUUGAAACAUGCAUUUUGCGUGUAAUACCACCCUAGUACUACUAGUGUGCAAGUGUUCGUA